CUACGGGCGGCAGCAGUUAGGAAUAAUCUACAAUGCGCGAAAGCGUGAUAGUUUGAGCCAAAGUGCUUCUCAUUCGAGAAGCUUUUGUGAAACCUAAAAAAUUUCACGAAUAAGGACUGGGUAAGACGAGUGCCAGCCGCCGCGGUAAUACUCGCGGUCCAAGUCGCAGCCAUAUUUAUUGGGUCUAAAACAUCCGUAGCUUGCUUUGUAAGUUUUUUGUGAAAUCUGAUCUCUCAAGGGUCAGGCGGGCAAAAAAUACUGCGGAGCUAGAGACUGGUAGACGUAAGAAGUACGUUCAGAGUAGCGGUAAAAUGUGUUAAUCCUGGACGGACUAACAAAGCGAAGGCAUCUUACGAGAACAGUUCUGACAGUAAGGGAUGAAGGCUAGGGGCGCAAAACGGAUUAGAUACCCGAGUAGUC
rnacentral:rRNA from 1 species